rnacentral:rRNA from 1 species
UAACACAUGCAAGUCGAACGAGAAUCCGAGCUUGCUCCGAGGAUAGUGGCGCACGGGUGAGUAACGCGUGGAUAACCUGCCCUGGUAUCUGGAAUAACAUCUCAAAAGGGGUGCUAAUACCGGAUAAAACCACGAGCUCUUAGGAGCUUGCGGUAAAAGGUGGCCUCUGAAUAUGCUACUGUAUCAAGAUGGGUCCGCGUACCAUUAACUAGUUGGUGGUGUAAUAGACCACCAAGGCGACAAUGGUUAACUGGUCUGAGAGGAUGAUCAACCACACUGGAACUGAGACACGGUCCAGACUCCUACGGGAGGCAGCAGUGGGGAAUUUUGCGCAAUGGGGGAAACCCUGACGCAGCAACGCCGCGUGAGUGAUGAAGGCCUUCGGGUCGUAAAGCUCUGUCAGUGGGGAAGAAGUGUGCGGGUGCUAAUACCAUCUGUACUUGACGGUACCCACAAAGGAAGCACCGGCUAACUCCGUGCCAGCAGCCGCGGUAAUACGGAGGGUGCAAGCGUUGUUCGGAUUUAUUGGGCGUAAAGCGCGUGUAGGCGGUUUCUUAAGUCUGAUGUGAAAGCCCCGGGCUCAACCCGGGAAGUGCAUUGGAUACUGGGAGACUUGAAUACGGGAGAGGGUAGUGGAAUUCUUAGUGUAGGACUGAAAUCUGUAGAUAUUAGGAGGAACACCGGUGGCGAAGGCGGAUUCCUGGACCCAUAUUGACGCUGAGACGCGAAAGCGUGGGGAGCAAACAGGAUUAUGAUACCCCGGUAGUGCACGCCGUAAAAGAUGAGAUCUAGGUGUUGCGGGUAUUGACCCUUGCAGUGCCGCAGCUAACGCAUUAAGUUCUCCGCCUGGGAAGCAC